GAUGAACGCUGGCGGCGUGCCUAAUACAUGCAAGUCGAGCGAACAGACGAGGAGCUUGCUCCUCUGACGUUAGCGGCGGACGGGUGAGUAACACGUGGAUAACCUACCUAUAAGACUGGGAUAACUUCGGGAAACCGGAGCUAAUACCGGAUAAUAUAUUGAACCGCAUGGUUCAAUAGUGAAAGACGGUUUUGCUGUCACUUAUAGAUGGAUCCGCGCCCCAUUAGCUAGUUGGUGAGGUAACGGCCCACCAAGGCAACGAUGGGUAGCCGGCCUGAGAGGGUGGACGGCCACACUGGGACUGAGACACGGCCCAGACUCCUACGGGAGGCAGCAGUAGGGAAUUUUCGGCAAUGGGCGAAAGCCUGACCGAGCAACGCCGCGUGAGGGACGAAGGUCUUCGGAUCGUAAACCUUUGUCAUCGAGGACGAUAAUGACGGUACUCGAGGAGGAAGCCCCGGCUAACUACGUG
rnacentral:rRNA from 1 species